rnacentral:rRNA from 1 species
UGGGGAAUAUUGCACAAUGGAGGGAACUCUGAUGCAGCGACGCCGCGUGAACGAAGAAGGCUUUCGAGUCGUAAAGUUCUUUUAUAUGGGAAGAUAAUGACGGUACCAUAAGAAAAAGCCCUGGCUAACUACGUGCCAGCAGCCGCGGUAAUACGUAGGGGGCUAGCGUUGUCCGGAAUCACUGGGCGUAAAGGGUUCGCAGGCGGAAAUGCAAGUCAGGUGUAAAAGGCAGUAGCUUAACUACUGUAAGCAUUUGAAACUGCAUAUCUUGAGAAGAGUAGAGGUAAGUGGAAUUUUUAGUGUAGCGGUGAAAUGCGUAGAUAUUAAAAAGAAUACCGGUGGCGAAGGCGGCUUACUGGGCUCAUUCUGACGCUGAGGAACGAAAGCGUGGGUAGCAAACAGG